AGAGUUUGAUCCUGGCUCAGGAUGAACGCUAGCGGCAGGCCUAACACAUGCAAGUCGAGGGGUAACAUAGAGAAGCUUGCUUUUCUGAUGACGACCGGCGCACGGGUGCGUAACGCGUAUGCAACCUACCUUUUACAGGGGAAUAGCCUUUAGAAAUGAAGAUUAAUGCCCCAUGGUGCACCAAGACCUCCUGGUCAAGGUGCUAAAACUUCGGUGGUAAAAGAUGGGCAUGCGUCCUAUUAGUUAGUUGGUAAGGUAACGGCUUACCAAGACUGCGAUAGGUAGGGGCCCUGAGAGGGGGAUCCCCCACACUGGUACUGAGACACGGACCAGACUCCUACGGGAGGCAGCAGUGAGGAAUAUUGGACAAUGGGCGAGAGCCUGAUCCAGCCAUGCCGCGUGCAGGAAGACUGCCCUAUGGGUUGUAAACUGCUUUUAUACAGGAAGAAACACCCCUACGUGUAGGGGCUUGACGGUACUGUAAGAAUAAGGAUCGGCUAACUCCGUGCCAGCAGCCGCGGUAAUACGGAGGAUCCAAGCGUUAUCCGGAAUCAUUGGGUUUAAA
rnacentral:rRNA from 1 species